GUGGUUUUAGGAGCUGCCUGGGAACCGAAUUCUGAGAGAUGGUCACAAGUCACAAGUGCACGGGUAUUGUCCUCUUCAGUGGCAUCUCUGUUGACAAAGAGCCUGGGCUUGGACCAGAGACACUGAAGGCCUGGGUCGGGCAGAGGAGUCUCGGAGGCCAAGCUUGGACAAGUCUGGGGCGAGUGUGGAGACAAGUCUGGGGCGAACGGAUUUGCGUGUGUCAAUUUCAC